rnacentral:rRNA from 1 species
CCUACGGGUGGCUGCAGUGGGGAAUAUUGGACAAUGGGGGCAACCCUGAUCCAGCCAUGCCGCGUGUGUGAAGAAGGCCCUCGGGUUGUAAAGCACUUUCAGUGAGGAAGAACGCCUGGUGGUUAAUACCCAUCAGGAAAGACAUCACUCACAGAAGAAGCACCGGCUAACUCCGUGCCAGCAGCCGCGGUAAUACGGAGGGUGCGAGCGUUAAUCGGAAUUACUGGGCGUAAAGCGCGCGUAGGUGGCUUGAUAAGCCGGUUGUGAAAGCCCCGGGCUCAACCUGGGAACGGCAUCCGGAACUGUCAAGCUAGAGUGCAGGAGAGGAAGGUAGAAUUCCCGGUGUAGCGGUGAAAUGCGUAGAGAUCGGGAGGAAUACCAGUGGCGAAGGCGGCCUUCUGGACUGACACUGACACUGAGGUGCGAAAGCGUGGGUAGCAAACAGGAUUAGAUACCCGGGUAGUC